UCUCUCUCUCCGUGUUGAAAGCAAUGGAAAAUGGGGUAUGGCAGGAAUGAAUGGGUGUUGGGUUGGAAAGGCUCACUCUUUUCUAAGCCGGGUGGGUGUGGAGUAUUAUUAGGAGUGAGUCCCACGUUGAUUAAUUUAGUGGAAGAUCGAUCAUGCGUUUGUAAGUGAGGAAUACUAUCUCCGUUAGAACGAGGCAUUUUGUGGUAGCUCAAAGAAAGCCGUAAAAAAGUGGACAAUAUCUUAUAAUUGUGGAGAUUCGUGAUUUCUAACCCUGCGAGGAAAAUGAGAGGGCAUGACUGUGAAUGGAAUCCAACAGGCCGCCAUUAUUUUACUCUGCAGUUAGGGAUCUAACCUCGCUUUCUUCUAUAUCUCUCAGCUGAACACAGCUCAAAGAAAAUUGGAAAUCCAUAAAGCCAGCUCACGUGGAAGCAUCUGAUCUUUUGGUUAAAGUAUAUUUCCGGACGGUUUUUAUACAAUCUUUUUCAGUUCAGCUGUGGAUCAGGUAAAAAUCCAAACAUCUUAUCUUUUAAUUUUCAGUUAAACUAUGAGUUAGGUAUAAACUCGAACGUAUGAUAUUUUAGCUUUAGUUAAACUAUGAAUUAGGUAAAAAUUU